rnacentral:lncRNA from 7 species
GUCCUUUCUUUCAGUUCAAACAUCCUGCAGAAUCCUCCAGCAUUUCUCAACAGCCUUCCCUGCUCUCUUCCCCCCUGCCAGGUUGUGAGUACAACUCCAACAGCCCCCGGAUCCUUGGAGAGCUGCCCACAGAAGGCAGAGGAAAGGACAAGUUAUGGGACGCAAGGAACCUUCAGGAUGCCUUGGGAAUGGAGGGGAUGCAGCCAGUUUGGGUCCUGUCUCUUUUGGUCCAGCAGAAAACCGUGUGUGCGAUCAGAGCUGGGAAAGUGCUCCUGCUGGCUGUAAUUAGGGAUGUCAUUGCAAAGCAUUAUCUCACAGAGCUGGAGCCUAUACAGAGCCAUACGUCCUCCGUAGCCAAUUGUGCACGGAGGUGAUGGGAGAGGGAAGGGUGCUGGGAACGCUCUCCCUCACUCAUUUCCAGGACGUUCUGCUGCUGUGUGGUCCCUUUCCCUUCUCACAGAGCAAUGAUGAAAGCAGACAGCCAGCAAGACCCCGGGGAGCCGCGCAGUGCAGCCCAUGGCUUCUCUUCCAGCCAAGGCUGUGUGGAGCUGCGGGUCCUCACCCCCAGCUGGGCUCAGCCCACUCCUCCAUUUCCCGUUCGCUUUCUCCCAGAGCAUAUUUUCGGGACGUGGAGAUGUCCCAACCCUCCCUUCCUCCCCAGCGGUAGCGCAUCUCGGAGGGGCCACGAGGGCCGUCGCUGCCGGUCCUGCUCUUCUCGUAAAGCACAGCGAGCUUCUGGCCAGCAGCAGCCAUGCAAUUUCAGAGAUUGAGCAAAUUCCCCCUCCCACCCACUGAGGACCUCCCGGGACCGGCGCACAUCCCACCACAGGCAGCAGCCACCUCGGCCAGCCGCCCAUUGCUGCAACGGCUUGAGUCAAUCGAGACCAUUUCUCAUGCAACCCAUCCGUACCGGAGGUCCCCAGGAGGAGGGUUGGCUCAGGAAAACCUUCAGCCCCAAACCCAGCACUCCCCCAUGCAGCUGACGGAGCACAGCUCACAGCGCAGUGACCCAAAGUGCUGCGCCGUCUGUGCCACGUCCAGCUGGCCCUUCCGCUUUGCUGGCGUGCUCCUUCCUGCUUUUAUUUUGGCUCUUUUUUGUGUGGUUUUUUUUCUUUUUUUUGGCUACGUAUGCGUGCAAGUCCAGAUGGGAGGAAAGGUCAGACUUGCUGAUGGUAAGGCCCAGGCUGAAAUCUGGGUUUGCCCUAAACCCGGGAUGGCUGUGGCUGGAUGAGCCCUGCUGGUGGGCUCAGCCAUCUGCCAGGAGAGCUGCGCCGGGCUCUGCGCUCACACGUUGGGGCUGUUGGAGCUCUGGCUCAUCUCCAUCCCGGUUCUGUCCUUGCCCACAUGCAGCUCCGCUCAUCACUGCCCACCCAAACACGCUCGGCCUCCUCUCGCUCAGCUCCUGACCUUUAUUCUCCCUUAAAUCAAUACGCAGAGCCGUGCUGCAGCAGUACCAGCACCUCCGGGGAGCCCAGGUGAUGUAUAGCAUCCAAGGAGCUGCUUCUGCUUUUGAGGCUCCCAUCCAGAUAAGCUUUUGUCUUUCCAAUCUGUCCUGUGCUGCGUGGGCCCUGCGUUCAUCCCCUCUGCUCCUGGCACUAUUGACUCCACAUUUGCUUUCAUUCUGCUGUAAAAUGAAGGCAGCUCCAGGUACAACAGCGGUUUUAUUCUUCCUGAAUAUAAUGCCUUUAUGAAAAUAAAAUCAAAAGUGAGUU